rnacentral:rRNA from 1 species
UGCGGAGGAUGCAAGCGUUAUCCGGAAUUAUUGGGCGUAAAGCGUCCGUAGGUGGUUGAGUAAGUCAGUUGUUAAAGCGUGGAGCUUAACUCCAUAACGGCAAUUGAAACUACUCGGCUAGAGUGCGAUAGGGGCAAGGGGAAUUCCCAGUGUAGCGGUGAAAUGCGUAGAUAUCAGGAGGAACACCAGCGGUGUAGACGGCUUUCUGGACCAUUGCUGACGCUGAGACACGAAAGCGUGGGUAGCAAACAGG